rnacentral:rRNA from 1 species
UACGAAGGGGGCUAGCGUUGCUCGGAAUCACUGGGCGUAAAGCGCACGUAGGCGGAUUGUUAAGUCAGGGGUGAAAUCCUGGAGCUCAACUCCAGAACUGCCUUUGAUACUGGCGAUCUCGAGUCCGGGAGAGGUGAGUGGAACUGCGAGUGUAGAGGUGAAAUUCGUAGAUAUUCGCAAGAACACCAGUGGCGAAGGGCGGACUCACCUGGCC